CCCGUAGAAGAAAAAGGCGAAGAAGUAGAAGCGGGUUGUUAGAAUUUAUGACGUUCACUAGAGGGGGGGUGAAUAGUGAGGCACGAGAAUAUUGAAAUAUUGCGGAAUUUAAAAUUGCAAGAAUAAGUAAAUACGGUAAUUGAAAUAAUCAAGAAAGAACACACCGUAUUUUAUCCUGGUUCACCACAACCCGUGGCUAGU
rnacentral:lncRNA from 1 species